UAUCUUGUCGCGCCUGCAUAUGACAGUAGUCAACAUAUGCAGCGGACGGAACAAGUGCAGGUUCAGAGUUGCACUUGAUCUGAACCUGCAAACAUCCUGCGUGGCGAGCUGGGCCGUGGGCCUUGUAGCGUGCGUGUGUUGAGGGUGGCUGGCCCAGGAUGCCAGCUACAUAUUGUACCCAGACCUGAUCGAUUGGGCAGGAAGGAAAAUAUCUGAAGUUAAACUCUCUCCUCACCACGCUCCUCACCUGCUCCCUUCUCUCUUUCUCCCCCAAAUUCUAGAUCGAGAUCCCAGGGCAUUACAUAUCUAUGUGACAUACCUUAGGUUAAGAUUAGACAGGCCCACAAGCCGUGUUGUAAGAGCCUGAGAGGCGGAGAUGUUUGCCGAUUAGUAGAUCAGCUUCUGGUUCACACCGGAGGGCGGAAUCCACACCUCCGUCAGUCAGGUCGUCGCUGAUGGUGAUACUGAUGCGACCGCUCGAUUCAGCCCUAGCUCCACGGCAGCGGCGGCGGCGGAACGAUCGAGGAUGUAGUCAGAGCAAACGGAUGGCAAAGCGAUGUAUUGUGUGUCUAUGCCCAGGUCGACCUGAUUGUAGCACGUGGCCUAUGGGCUAACAAUUUUGGGCUUGGGCUAUCCAACACUAGUUACGUAAAGGUGAGGCAUACGUGUUUGCUAAUGGCCAGAUUUCCCUAAACAGAAAAACUAAUGUCCAGAUACUAAUUAGCAAUAGGCGUCAAACUCAAUCCAGCGUAGUCCCCGUUGAAUAUCGUUGAGGGGGGCCGAUCGAUAGGGGGGGUCUGGCCCCCGCUCGCCCCCCCUGUGGCUCCGCCACUCAGCAGAUGUAAACGUGGAAGCCGCCCGCUCCGACGUCCAGACGAGGCUCCAGCUCCACGACCGGCGGCAGCUUCCACCACGAGGUGAGCAUGCGGCAUCUGGAAAAACGUCUGUUCCUGACCCUCAAAUGUCACGUUUCCAGGAGAAAACCCGGGCACACCGUGGCUGCCUCGACAUCGACAGUAUGAUGUGCCUGCGCCGUCGGAAACGAUGCUGCUAGAGCCGAAGGGCACCAACACAUCCUCUUCCUCGGGCAGAGGCGGUAACUCAUGACGUGCUGCCAACGGCAAGCCACUCGUCUCCACCUGUUUUGGCUUGGUUUUUUCCUGGUUGGCCUAUACAGUUUCUCAUCAGAACAGAUCAUGGGGGUUCUUUCCACACGUAUCCUCGCCUGGGCGGGCCAUUCCAGAGCUUGCAGGAAGCUGAGAAUGCUCUCGAUAGCCAUCUCGAUGACCUGCGCUCUCCAAUAAUGUGCACAGAUGGGCUUCCGCAAGCGGAAAAAGCGGUACGGCAUGCUCUUUACUGGCCUGAUGGCACAAGAAGGAUGUCUUCCAGAAGCCAUCCAAAACGUGGGAAUAUCAACCUAUUGGUUCAAGCUUUACUGGACAAGUACAGUGAAGAUCACCGCCUUUUGGGGGUUUGCUCUCUGCUCCUCCUCCCGCCUUCAAUCCUUGUCCUGUUACCAGGGUUCCUCCUCCCGCCUUCAAUCCUUGUCCUGUUACCAGGGUUGUCUUAAUUUCUUGUAUUCAUGUACUAAUUGCUGAUACAGUCCAUGCCUGCUUUUUAGGAUCUUGCAUAUGAACUUGAUGAUCUUGUGACCUUCCAAGAAUUUUAUAUGGGGGAGACUGGCUGCCUCAAAAUGUACUGUCAUCUCAAUUUUACUACAAAAACUAAAGGAGCUGAUGAUUCUCACGGUGGCAGCAACAAUCUAUUUCUUUGCUGAAGUCGCACAAAUAAAGGGCGAAAGUGUAGAAUAUGUGCUCAAUUGUUUCUGUAUGGUGCAACAUAAUGACAAUGGCCAAUGCUAUGGUUGUACGACUUAUGGAAAUGUUGAUUUGAAGCACCCUGUCAAUGCUGAUCAAUACGAAGGUCGCCACUCUCGCCCGCACAAAACAUGGUGCGGUUUCGUCCAUCCAGGCGUACCUGCAUACAUCAAGAAUGAGGACAGGCUGGCGGAUGAGGAGGCUAGGAUAAGACGUGUAAACAUGUGCCGUGAUGAACCUCCUAGUCUGGCAAAAUCGGAUGGUGCAAAAAUGCCUGCUGGUUUGGGCAAGAGAGAAGGUGAUGGUUUGGCCAAGAGAGAGGAUGCUUGUUUGGCCAAGAGAGAGGAUACUGGUUUGGCCAAAAGAGAUGAUGGCCAGGGAAGCGGGAAAUACAUUGUACCAGCCAGACGUCAGUUGGUUUGAGUAUCCUCUCGGGUAUAUAGAUAAAUUUGGUUCUAGGUAUAUGUUUGAUCUCACUAAGCAUUAUUGUAUAUUCUUACAAUCUGCAUAGUUGCAUAUUUCCUGCAUGGUUAAUGAAUCUUUAGUUGAUCAACUAGUGCAUGGAUCCUCUCUGUCAAUAAAGAAAAAGAAAAACUAGUGCCUGGGUCCAAAAACAUAUUGAUAGCAUGGUAUUGACAGAGAUUAUCAAGUGUAAGGGCAAUCGUUUCCAAAUUUCUCUGGACAUUUAAGAACUUGGGUCAUUUAGGAUCGAUGAACUACCAAUGCUCUCAAACUCUUUUAAGGCUUGUUUUUCUCUUCAAGUAUAGUGAACAUGGAUGCAUUAUUACUCCCUCCGUUCCUAAAUAGAAGUCUUUUUAGAGAUUUCAAUAUAGACUACUGUCAGGACUGUUGCUGUCAAGUAAUUGCCGGAAUAGCCACAGUACCAUUUCAGUUAGGCUGGCGAUGGUGGACCGUUGAUCUGAAGAUCUCCAGAUGGACGGCUAGGAAGCGCGCGCCCCUUUUACCUUCAAAUUGUACUACAAGUCACUGUAACUCGUCAAACCUGUCGCUGUCUACUUUUCAUAGCUGAACCUCCUUUUAAACCCCCUCCGGCUUGUGGAGAGGGGCAUUCGAGAUUGUACUGGGCUUGGCCCUGGGAGCCGCCGUGUUCCGGCAGGCUAACCCUAGUUCUUGUCUCUCAGAUCCAGCUGAAUUCAAUCCCCAAAUUCCACCAUAAAUUGAGCGUUUUUCUGUGUUCUUCUGAAAUCUUAGCGACAGUCCUAGUUUGGACCUGUCAAUUGGUAUACAGAGCGUAGGUUGAACCUUGGCGGCGAAAUUGAGCUCCGAUUGGGCGGCGGCGUAAGGGAGGCGAA